GCCAUCAGAGAGUAGUGACUUGACCGUAGUGUUUUUAGUGUGCUCCCACAUUGAACUCUACUUUUUGGGUCCAUGCACCUACUUAUUUCUAAACAUCUAGAGCGCAACAAUACCCCUGCCUCCUGAUGUGCCAUAUAACCUGUAUCUCUCCGUGUGUGUGUGUGUGUGUGUGUGUGUGAGAGAGAGAGAGAGAGAGAGAGAGAAUGUGUGCACGCAGAUAUAAGAAGUUGGGGUUGAUGAUCCACAUGAUGGUGAUGGACCAGGACAGCUCUGGACCUCCUGACUGGCAGCUCCAUCCUCAACCUCUCUUCCUGCCCUUCACACAUGUGCAGGCAGGCAGUUUUCUGAAAGAUGGUUGAUGUCAGUACCAACAUGUUGUGAUGGAGGCUUCCACCUGAGCUGAACACAGAAACUUGCACACAGUGAUGGAAGCAGUCGUUCCUGUUCAGCAUCGAUAUGCCAGUAAUGGGUUUGAUGAGCCACAGCAUGGUGAUGGGCAAUCAGCAUCAGGACCAGGGCAGCUCACAAGGAGAACCUCCUGCCCUGCCUCGUCAUCCUCAACCUCCCAUCUCCCUGCUCUUCACACAUGUGCAGGCACGGAGCCAGUUUUCAGAGGGAGGGCUGAUGACACCAGCAACUUUGGUUCUGAACCUGAUCAACCCAGCACCAACCACUGUGCCGCUCCUCCUCUGCCAACUGCACCACAUGGCUCCAACUGCACCACAUGGCUCCACCAUCUCAAAAAGGCACAGACACUACUCCACUUCCUGCAAAGGAUGAGAGAAGAGCCGACCGCCCCACAUCGGCACUCACCACCUUCUACAGGGGUGUCAUUGAGAGCAUCCUGACCAGCAGCCUCUCUGUCUGGCAUGGCAGCCGUCAAGCUGAAGACUAGAAGGCAGUACAGAGAGUGUGGUGAGAACGGCAGAAAAGCUCAUAAGAUCACCCCUACCAGCCAUUCAGGAUCUGUACACUUCACACUGUUCCAAGAGGGCAAUGAACAUCAUAAAGACAUAACUCAUCCAGCAUACAGACUGUAUCCCUCCCUACUACCAUCAGGGAAGCGCAUGUGGUGCCGCACAAGCACACUGGGAAACGGCUUCUUUCCACAAGCCAUCAGACUCCUCAACGCACUGAAGAAAACCACAUGAAUAUUCCAAGGACACUGGAGAAUAUUCCAUGAACACUUCUUUCACCAUGCCACGUACACUUUACUCAUUGCACCUUAUAUACAGCAUCUUCACAUCA